rnacentral:sRNA from 1 species
AUGCUCGCCCAGAGGCCUGUGCCCACACCCUCUCCUGUCCAGCCCUUGCCCGCCUGGGCAGGGCCCGGCGCCAUCCGUGGAUGAGCCACAGAACCUCUUCCACCUUCCGAGCGGAGAGAAGUUUCCAUUCCUCUUCCUCUUCCUCUUCCUCCUCCUCUUCCACCUCCUCCUCGGCCUCCCGUGCCCUCCCGGCCCAGGACCCACCCAUGGAGAAGGCCCUGAGCAUGUUUUCCGAUGACUUUGGCAGCUUCAUGCGACCCCACUCGGAGCCCCUGGCCUUCCCAGGCAAGUGAUCUGGGCCCUGAGGGGAGGGGAGGCGCACAGGGAGGGGACGUCUGCUCCAGGGCGCCACCGAAGGCGCUGUGGCUGCCGGUCGGCCUGGAACAGGUGCUGCACAGCCUGCAGCCAUGUGUGGCCACCAAGACAGAUGUGGCCACAGGGACAGAUGUGGCCAUGAAAACAGGUGGGCCUCUAAGGAACGGUUGUGGCCCUGGGGGUUGGACAUCGUUCCAUGGCCACCCAGCCAAUCCCAGCUGGAGCCCUGGAGGGCUGGACAGGGUGAGGGGUGGGAGGCAGCCCCCAGGCUCCAGGCCUGGGGUGGGGUUGUUACAGACCUAGCCUCAUAUACACACACACUGUGCUGGGUGAGGCCCCACCCCCACCCCAGAAAAGGUGGGCUGUAGGAAUGAGGAGGAGCUUAGGGAGAAACAGCUCGGGGUGGGGGAGGUAGGGCCUGGGGGAGCCGCCCCUUGCCCCAAGAGAAGGAGCCAGAACCCCCGGAUCUGCAUGCAAGGCCUGCUCCAUGCCUCGCUCACAGCAGCCCACCCCACAGCCCGCCCCGGGGGGGCAGGCAACAUCAAGACCCUCGGAGACGCCUAUGAGUUUGCGGUGGACGUGAGAGACUUCUCACCUGAAGACAUCAUCGUCACCACCUCCAACAACCACAUUGAGGUGCGGGCUGAGAAGCUGGCGGCUGACGGCACCGUCAUGAACACCUUCGCUCACAAGUGCCAGCUGCCGGAAGAUGUGGACCCGACGUCGGUGACCUCGGCUCUGCGGGAAGACGGCAGCCUCACUAUCCGGGCACGGCGUCACCCGCAUACAGAACACGUCCAGCAGACCUUCCGGACGGAGAUCAAAAUCUGAGUGCCUCUCCCUUCCCUUUCCCUGUCCCCCCCGCCCCAUGCCUGCCAGCAAAGCCUUGCUAACCCCAUUACAACAGCUCCAGGACAUCUCAGCCCAGGUUCUAGCCCCCACGCACCCCAGACCCCAGGUGGACCACCCUCCCAAAUUAGGCCCCUCCACUCUAUCCAGGGCAGGCCAGAGACUCCCUAGCCUGACACAUGAUGCCCAGAUUUCAGAUUUGGCCUCCCUCACUUAAUCCAGAGUACAGGGGCUGGGGUCAGGGAAGGAAGAUCUAAAGAACCCGCUGUGGGUCAGGGGAAUGGGACCAGCAGGACAUAUGGGCAAGCUCUGCAGGACAGACAGACAGACAAACCCUCUGAUCUAUGAAGUCUCUGCAGGGCAAGGGGACCAGGGACCUGGAACCCUCUUGGCCAAGGUGAGUGUGAGAGACAGAGGGACGGUCACAGGCAGGGGUGCCUAUCUAAGUGGAACUAAUUGCCCGAGGGCUCAGCAAGGCCAAGAGGAGACAGCCGUGACGGUAAACUUCCCCUCUACCAGCCUCCAAGCCCCACGCCAGCGAGCAGGCUGCCUGCCCACCCUGUGCCCCCAGCCAGCUGGCUGUGCCAGGGCAGAGCCAUGCCACAUCUGUAUAUAGAUGGGGUUUUUCCAAUACAGCUGGUUCGUGAUAAACUGCAUGAAACUCCGGCCGUCCUGUGCCUACUGGGGCCUCCAGGCAAGGCCACGUGGGGUUGGGGGUGGGGCUGGUCCUUCUCUCUCCCACAGGCCUGUGUUCUUGGGGCUGCGCCCAUGCAGACAGGAUCACCUAACAGAGAUGGAAGCCAGGGCAUGGAUGGGGCUUUGGGUCCUCGAGGUUGGACCCCAGCUUCUUGCCACCUUCCCCUCCGGGCAGUCGCCUCUCCAUCCAUCCCCCUCUUUAAUCUAUGAAUCUAUAGGCUCGGUGUGUGUAACACACACACCCCUAUCGUUGUCCUUCAAAUACUCAGCAUUACCAUUGGUUGAGGCCAAAUUCAGAGCUUUCUCAAAUCAGAUUUACAAUCUCCAUUUUCAUUAACGGGGAAACAUCUCUGAGCCACUGAGUGCCGUGCUUUGUCGCUGAAGGUUAGAUCUGAACCCAGGGUGUCAACAGCUGCUCUCAACUCCCCACCUCUGGGCACUGAGGAGUAUUUCCCCUCAUUCUACCUCUCUAAGCCUAUGCGCCCUCCCCACGUCUUCCAGCUGGGGGAUGGAGGGAGUCAUAGGAAAAGCCCCCAUCUCCCAUCUGGGAUAGGGACCUUCCAUCAGCCUCAACCCUGGGAAAUGCCUGCUGCCCCCAGUGAUUCUUGGUUUCGUCUCCCACAUACAGAAGCAGGGUGGAGGGAAGGGGUGGGUCUCAGUUAGCAGGGGUCCCCAGGGCAAGUCACCCUCCUCCCUCCGCGCCUCUCUGGUCAGUGUGCCUUAGGGUGGCCUCUCACUCCCACCACUCUGGGCCCCUUGGGGGAGGACUGGGGAGGGGUCCGUGGGUGAGCCCUGACGCUGGAACCUGUAUACACAAUAAAGGACAGUCUCACAGAC